AAGUCAUUCCAAAAAGAUCAGAAAUGUGAAUUUCUUUGCACUGCAACGUGCAAAACAGAAGGAUGAGGAGUGACGCCAUCUUGCGAUAAAAUGAUUCAACUACCUGAAUGAUAAAAUUAUUUAAUAUUUUUACCAAGACGUGCAUGUAUUAUACAUUUUAUUUCAAAUUAUUUUAUUAAUACUUUAAAUAACCCCAAAAUUGAGUAAAAACUAGUCAAUAGACUACAUAAUAAUUAUAAUUAUGUUCCACUUUCAACCAUAAGGAAGAUACAUAAUAAAACAAACUCGCUAAACCUC
rnacentral:lncRNA from 1 species